rnacentral:rRNA from 1 species
UACGGAGGGGGCUAGCGUUGUUCGGAAUUACUGGGCGUAAAGCGCACGUAGGCGGCUUUGUAAGUUAGAGGUGAAAGCCCAGGGCUUAACCCUGGAAUUGCCUUUAAGACUGCAUCGCUAGAAUCGUGGAGAGGUGAGUGGAAUUCCGAGUGUGGAGGUGAAAUUCGUAGAUAUUCGGAAGAACACCAGUGGCGAAGGCGACUCACUGGACACGUAUUGACGCUGAGGUGACGAAGACGUGGGGAGCAAACAGG